rnacentral:snRNA from 1 species
GUCCUUAUGCUAGGGUUAGAGCUUCUGACAGUGAGGAGAAAUCCGAGUCGAAGCAAUUGCUGGUUGCAAAAAACAAAUCCUACAGUUGUAUUGCGUCGUAAGACCGAUACACAAUUUCUGGAAACCUUGAUUCUUCUAUGAAGA